GGGCCCGCACAAGCGGUGGAGCAUGUGGUUUAAUUCGAUGAUACGCGAGGAACCUUACCUAGGCUUAAAUGUAGAUUGACGUAUUGGGAAACCAGUAUUUCUUCGGACAAUCUACAAGGUGCUGCAUGGUUGUCGUCAGCUCGUGCCGUGAGGUGUCGGGUUAAGUCCCAUAACGAGCGCAACCCCUAUCAUUAGUUGCUAACAUUUAGUUGAGGACUCUAAUGAAACUGCCCGCGUAAGCGGUGAGGAAGGUGGGGAUGACGUCAAAUCAUCACGGCCCUUACGUCUAGGGCUACACACGUGCUACAAUGGUAACUAUAGAGGGAAGCUAUCUGGUGACAGUGAG
rnacentral:rRNA from 1 species